GGUGACUAAUGACAGUGAUGGCUAGACUCUAGCUGAGCUAACCCUCGAGUGUUCGAAGUUGGUUUCAAACACCAAGCUUUUACUUUUUUUACUCUUUACUCAGAAAUGGUACUCGGAGGAGAACUCCGCGAAGCUAUGAGUUCUCGACAAAGCUUAACGAAGCAGGCGCCUCGAGGCUGGACAUCCAUCUCGGAUCGUGGAUGGAGCCUCGAGGCUAGAGGAUCAACUUGACGUGAAGGUGAAGUCUCGA
rnacentral:lncRNA from 1 species